rnacentral:lncRNA from 10 species
GGGCCGGGACAAAGCCUGGGCCGGGCCUGCGCUUCCGUUCGCUUGACUGGCUGCGCUUGUUUUCAGGGUUUUGGUCUGAAAACGGAUCUUACCUGCGCAGAGCAAAAUCGGUUGUAGAUUAUAUCCACGAAAAUUCCUUCUAUUAAAAUGAAUUUCAAGUCCCACCUACCCUGGAAGCAGAAAGAGAGAGAAGAGAGAGAGUAAAGAGAAAGAGAAAAGAAAGAGAAGUUGAAAAAGAGAAAGAAAACCAAGAAAGAAAGAGAAAAAAACCGAAAAUAAAUGGACAAGAAAGAAAAAGAUGUAGUCUGGUUUUGUUGCCCAGGCUGGUCUCCAGCUUCUAGCCUCAAGCAGUCUUCCCAUCUGCUCCUACCAAAGUGCUCGGAUUAUAGGCAUGAAUCACCUUGCAUGGGAGAUAAGGACCCCCACAUCAAGCCCUCAGGUCACUGGGAUCCUGGACUACGGCACUGCUCCAGGCAGGCCUGGUUAUCCUGCUUGAGGCAGCAAUCCUCUUGAGCCUAGUGAAAUGCAACUGGCUGUACCUCAAUGAUGUUGCCCUGAGAUUCUGCCAGUCGAGGUAUUACUUCAAUCUCCUGAGACCAGCCUCUACCUCCAGAUCCAGGGAGGCCAACGUGCCAUGCAUCCCUGGAGCAUGAAACCCCCGAUCAAGGAGGAAAAAGGCAGGAGAAAGUCAGGAGAGGGGCAGGGUCUGCAGGAUCCCAGGACCAGGAAGAGUUCACGGCCUCCCUGGGACUGGGGCUGCGUCGCUGCGCUCCAGGAGCUGACGAGGGAGCGGAGCAGAUGGGAAGCUCCCAGGGCGGGAAUCAACCUUGCGGUGAGGACUUUAAAAAAGGUGCGGGCCAGUGCAGGGGACACUGAAGGAUUUGAGGCAGGAAAACUCCGCGAUAAGAGCUGUCUAUAUGGCCCUGUGGCAGAAGCACGGGGGACACGACCCCAUGGAACUGUGUCCAUUAAACCUCUUUGUCUUCAUAAAUUACCCAGUCUCGGGUAUUUCUUUAUUAGCAGCGUGAGAACAGACUAAUACAGUAAAUUGGUAAUGGUAUAGAGUGGGGUGCUGCUAUAAGGAUACCUCAAAAUGUGGAAGCAAAUUUUGAACUGGGUAACAGGCAAAGGCUGGAACAGUUUGGAGGGCUCAAAAGAAGACAGGAAGACGUGGGAAAGUUUGGAGCUUCCUAGAAAAUGGUUGUUGAAUGGUUCUGACCAAAAAGUCCAGGCUGAAGGUGGUCUCAGAUGGAGAUGAGGAACUUUAUUGGAACUGGAGCAGAGGUGAGCUGCAGGGGCGGAGCCCUCAUGGAGAACCUCUGCUAGAGCAGUGCAGAAGUAAAAUGUGGGGUUGGAGCCCCCACACAGACUACUCACUACUCGCCUAGUGCAGCCGUGAGAAAAGGGCCACCCUCCUAUAGACCCCAGAAUGGUAGAUUCACCGACAGCUUGCACCAUGUGCCUGGAAAAGUAGCAGACACAACACCAGCCUGUGAAAGCAGCCAGGAGAGGAGCUGUACCCUGCAAAGUCACAGGGGCAGACAUGGGUUCCCUGCAAGACCACUGGAACCAACCUCUUGCAUAAGUGUGACCUGGAUGUGAGACACGGAGUCAAAAGAGAUCAUUUUGGAGCUUUGACUGCCCUGCUGGAUUUCAGACUGGCAUGGGGCCUGUGACCUGUUUUGGCCAAUUUCUCCCAUUUGCAACGGGCGUUAUUUAUCCAAUACCUGUGCCUCCAUUGUACCUAGGAAAUAACUAACUUGCUUUUUAUUUUACAGGCUCAUAAACAGAAGAGACUUGCUUGUCUCAGAUGAAACUUUGGACUGUGGACUUUUGAGUUAAUGCUGAAAUAAGACUUUGGGGGACUGUUGGGGAGGCAUGAUUGGUUUUGAAAUGUGAGGACAUGAGAUUUGGGAGGGACCAGGGGCAAAAUGAUAUGGUUUGGCUGUGUCCCCACCAAAUCUCAUCUUGAAUUGCAGCUCCCAUGAUCCCCACAUGUGGGAGGGACCCGGGGGGAGGUAACUGAAUCAUGGGGGUGGGAUUUUCCCAUGCUGUUCUCAUGAUAGUGAAUAAAUCUCAUGAGAUCUUAUGGUUUUAUAAAGGGCAGUUUCCCUGCACGGGCUCUCUCUUGCCCGCCACCACGUAAGACAUGUGUUUGCUCCUCCUUCACCUUCUGCCAUGAUUGUGAGGUCUCUCUAGCCGUGUGAAACUGUGAGUCCAUUAAACUUCUUUUUCUUUAU